UUUCCGUAGGUGAACCUGCGGAAGGAUCAUUACCGAAGGUCCGGGAAGUGGACCAAAAACAAGCCAUGCGGAUUUAGUUCGCUGCGCCCACGAUCGUCGUGGGCGUUCGUCCUCUCUCUUUUUUCUCUUUGUCGCACAGGGAUCCCGUCGCCGUCUCUUCCUGCAGGCGUCCGUCGGGGUCUUUCAGGGGUACCCUGUUCUUUGGCCCUCCCUUUGGAUUGUUUGCGCAGUGUGUUCCAAGUGGGUCUCGGGGAGCUUGAGAGCAGCCGGAGCGGAAGCUUUGGAGGCGUGGAGCUGCUGGAGGUCGGAUUGGGGCAUGAGCCGGAGACACGCUUUUGGGGCGGGCGAAAGGACGCCGCUCAAGACCCAGAACCCCGCGAAACCAAAAUCGUUAUGCGAUGUCGGGCGAGAGGCGUCUCGCCGAGCUCUUCGUGAGCUCGAAACAAAGCGCCACCCACAAACCACACUAAACUCUGAAUCUGAACUCAAAAGGAGGCGCCGCCUCGCGCGGAGCCUUCUCAACCUUUAACGUUGUAAAACUUUCAGCGACGGAUGUCUUGGCUCCCACAACGAUGAAGAACGCAGCGAAAUGCGAUACGUCUUGCGACUUGCAGAAUCCAGUGAAUCAUCAAAACUUUGAACGCAUCUUGCGCUUCCGGGAUAUGCCUGGGAGCAUGCUUGUCGGAGUGUCUGUUGACACAUCUCGCCCCCCCGUCUCUCUUUUUCUCUAAUAAGGAGAAGAGAGGCGAGAGGGCGGACUCUGCGUGUUCCGGAGCGCGAGCUCCGAGUGCACCGAAUCUCGUGAACGCUAGACCUCUGCUACUGCUAAUCGCACAGAGUUGUUGACGGCGCGUCUGCUUCGGCGGCGCGACUCUCUACUCGCCGCGUGCCCUUGGCGUAGAAUUGGUCGUCUUAGUUCCGGUCGCCGUGCCGCUCGCGCAGCACAGUACCCCAACUUUCGUUCGGACCUCCGAUCAAGCAAGAGGACCCGCUGAAUUUAAG
rnacentral:rRNA from 1 species